UAACGCGUAGGUGAUCUACCUUUUAGUUGGGGAUAGCUCAUGGAAACAUGGGGUAAUACCGAAUAAUCUCUAUUAUUAUGUUGAUAGAGGAAAGGGGCGUUUGCCUCGCUGAAAGAUGAGCCUGCGUAUGAUUAGCUAGUUGGUAGGGUAAAGGCCUACCAAGGCGACGAUCAUUAGCCGGCCUGAGAGGGUGACCGGCCACAUUGGGACUGAGACACGGCCCAGACUCC
rnacentral:rRNA from 1 species